rnacentral:rRNA from 1 species
CUAGCCUUAUCGGUGGAUCACUCGGCUCGUAA